UACGUAGGGGGCAAGCGUUGUCCGGAAUCAUUGGGCGUAAAGCGCGUGUAGGCGGCCCGGUAAGUCCGCUGUGAAAGUCGGGGGGCUCAACCCUCGAAUGCCGGUGGAUACUGUCGGGCUAGAGUACGGAAGAGGCGAGUGGAAUUCCUGGUGUAGCGGUGAAAUGCGCAGAUAUCAGGAGGAACACCAAUUGCGAAGGCAGCUCGCUGGGACGUUACUGACGCUGAGACGCGAAAGCGUGGGGAGCAAACAGG
rnacentral:rRNA from 1 species